GAUGAACGCUGGCGGCGUGCUUAACACAUGCAAGUCGAACGAUGAAGCCCAGCUUGCUGGGUGGAUUAGUGGCGAACGGGUGAGUAACACGUGAGUAACCUGCCCUUAACUCUGGGAUAAGCCUGGGAAACUGGGUCUAAUACCGGAUAGGAGCGUCCACCGCAUGGUGGGUGUUGGAAAGAUUUAGCGGUUUUGGAUGGACUCGCGGCCUAUCAGCUUGUUGGUGAGGUAAUGGCUCACCAAGGCGACGACGGGUAGCCGGCCUGAGAGGGUGACCGGCCACACUGGGACUGAGACACGGCCCAGACUCCUACGGGAGGCAGCAGUGGGGAAUAUUGCACAAUGGGCGCAAGCCUGAUGCAGCGACGCCGCGUGAGGGAUGACGGCCUUCGGGUUGUAAACCUCUUUCAGUAGGGAAGAAGCGAAAGUGACGGUACCUGCAGAAGAAGCACCGGCUAACUACGUG
rnacentral:rRNA from 1 species